AGCUAUCUGAGGGGAGGCACCCGAGAUAAAGACGAAAACGCACCAUAUCCUCCUGCUUCUGUCCGACGAGCGAGGUCGCCCGAAAAAGAGCACUCCGCGAUGGAGGCAGUUAGCGGCCACUUCACACGCUGAGAGAGGGCGGCGAAAAUAAACGGGUUGUCCGUUCAGCCCGCCGCCCCAAGCUCAGCGCCACGCGUAUUCGCGCGGGGCAAUGGCGGCUAGAAUUUGAACGACAUUCACGACGAACGGCCGGGGCGAGGAUUGACGGAGACGGAGCCGGAGCCGGAGCGGCAGGCACGGCACGGCAGGGCGGACCGUGAUUCGCUGGCCCAAGAGCCGGUCAGCGUGCACGCGCGUGUGCACGAGCCCGCGUGGGAUUGAGGGCUGAGCUGAGCAUAUCGCUGUCAAGAAGGGUUCCUUCUCUUCCCUCCCCCUCCUUCCCUCUCUCUCGCCCCUUUCCCACCCCGAUCCACCCUGGUUGAGGCUACCCUCCUUUCCUUCCCCCCUCCGUUCCCUCCUUUCUCCCUCCCUCCUUCCCCUCCCCGGUAUGGCCAGCGAAAAUAGUCUGACGCCCGAAACUCGGCCGCCGGCCGCCGACCAGGACCAGAGCUGCGAACUGUGCGGCAAAAUGGAGAAACUGCUACUGUGCGGGCGCUGCAAAAGAUCCUUCUAUUGCAGUAAAGAACAUCAGAAGCAGGACUGGAAGAAACACAAACAGGUCUGCAAGGAGGCGGCGAGCCGCCUGGGAAGAGCGGCUGGCGAGGGCACGCGUAACGCUACGGUGAAUAGCAACUACCAGCUGCCGCGGCCGCCCAUCACACCGGAUCCCGUCAACGGGCAGCAGUCGGAGAGGAGCCAAGACUCCCCGGGGACAGCGGGCCACCUGCUAACCGGACCUGGCAUCAAUAGUCGGAGUCACAGGGGGCCACAUGGACUAAGCGGCAGCUCCCAGAUUCUGGUUCAGGACUAUAUCGUGCCCUGCAUGAACAAGCAUGGCAUCUGCGUGGUGGACAACUUCCUGGGCGAGGAGACGGGCGACUGUGUGCUGCGGGAGGUGAGGGAAUUGCACCGCAGCGGCCGUUUCACUGAUGGCCAGGUGGUCAACCAGAAAGGCGACUCCUCCAAGGAUAUUCGCGGUGACCAGAUCACCUGGAUAGAUGGCAAGGAGCCGGGCUGUAUGCAGAUCGGAUACCUAAUGAAUAGCAUGGACGAUCUAAUCCGGCAUUGCAACGGAAAACUGGGCAGCUAUAAUAUUAAUGGCAGGACGAAAGCAAUGGUUGCAUGUUACCCAGGCAAUGGAACAGGAUAUGUACGGCAUGUUGAUAAUCCAAAUGGAGAUGGACGAUGUGUCACGUGUAUCUAUUACCUGAAUAAAAAUUGGGACGCACAGUUUAAAGUUGUCCACAGGGCUCAUAUGUCUAAAACCAAAUUGGCGAAGUUCUAUCCUGAUAUUAGUCCCUGGUGUGACAAAUGCAAAGGAGUUAUUGACCGAGGAAUUCGUCCAGUGUAUGUGGCUGUUCUUUUGAUUGACUGUACAACCCUCUCACUGUGGCUCGUAACAAACUUGGCUCGUCAGCUAACUCUGGCUAACAGGCAUGUGAAUCAGCAUUGCAUGGGUAACAGUGAGGAGGCCACCUUCAAUUAGCAACACCCUUCUAGGAUUGGUAUGAAUCAGGUUCAACCAGUCCGUAAUCCAAUGAUGGAACGAAAAUUGAACGCUGUACCUUCGGAUGGCGGGGGAAACCUGUAUUCUUCUUGGGACUGGUAUUGUUGCCUUUUUGAAGCAAGUGGGAACUUCCGCUGUAGCAGUGAGAGGUCGAAGAAGUCCUUGAAUACUCCUGCCAGUUGGUUGGCACAGGUUUUCAGAGCCUUACCAGGUACUCCAUCGGGACUUUCCUCCUUGUGAGUGUUCACCCUCUUUAAAGUCAGCCUAACAUCGGCCUCUGAGACAAAGAUCACAGGGUCAUCUGGUGCAGCAAGGAUCUUCAUGGCUGUAGUUGUGUUCUCCCUUUCAAAGCAUGCAUAGAAGGCGUUGAGUUCGUCUGGUAAUGAAGCAUUGCUGCCAUGCAUGCUAUUGGGUUUCAUGUUAAAGGGCAUGUCCUGAAUAGUGAGGUUCCUCAAUGAUAGAAUGAGAAACAGGAGGACACAUCUUGGCUCCCUCAGCCUAGUCCCCUAUAUUGUAAAAUCACUGCUGAUCUGAUAGUAAUCUUACUUGUCAUAGAGUCAUAGAGAAGUACAGCAGAAAAACAGGCCCUUUGGCACAUCUAGUCUGCGCAGAACCAUUUGAACUGCCUACUCCCAUUUUCAUUUACUCAUAAUAACCUUUCAUCUCUAAGACCAAGAGAUUUAGGAGUAGAAUUGAGCCAUUUGGCCCAUUGAAUCUGCUAUGCCAUUCAAUCAUGGCUGAUCAUUAUUUUUCUCAACCCCAUUCUCCCACCUUCUCCUCAUAACCCUCAACUCCAUUAACAAUCAGAAAUCUAUCAAUCUCUGCCUUAAAUACACCAAGCAGCUUGGCCUCCACAGCCGGUGUGUGCACGUGCAUGCACGCACAUCUUUUGCUACUAGCGCACAAAGCAAUUUUAGGUUGCGCACAAAAGAUUGUCAUCCUCUAUCUCGUUAGCAUGUAUAUUUCCUGAUCAUACACAAUCACAUUGCCUUUUCCGGUUUCUGAUGGAGACGGUGUUGGCCACGUAGAGUUUACAACGAUUUGCCUGCAGAUUUCAGAAGCGGCUUAUUUAUAAUGUUUUUACUGAAGAAAUUAUUGGUUCACUAUGUCGAAUUCCAAAGAAGCAAAGGUCAUGAAGCACAAAAUAACUCUAGUUCAUUUAAAGCAGAAUGGCUUAAUGAAGCAGUAGAAACUGCUACACCAAAAGUUCUUGAGGUCAGGAAUGUGUAGCUAUGAAAAAUACUUGAAUUGAAUUUACUUUAUUUCUUACACCUUUCACAUACAUCAGAAGUAAAAGGGAGAUACAGUUCUCAUACCAGGCAGUGAUGCAGCCAGUCAGGAUGCUUUCAGUUGUGCCCCUGUAGACAGUUCCUAGGAUUUGGGAGCCCAUAUCAAACUCCUUCAUCUGUCUGAGGUGAAAGUGGUGCUGUUGUGCUUUUUUCACCACACAGCUGG